rnacentral:tRNA from 1 species
GAUUUGGUAGCUCAGCCGGUAGAGCAUAUCCCUUUUAAGGAUAGGGUCCUGGGUUCGAACCCCAGCCAGAUCACAA